UUUGCGUUAGGGAUAGGAGUGGAAAGCCCGCAUUCGCUUUUGGCGAAGCGUACUUGAAACGUAUAGCCCGGCCCCGU
rnacentral:misc_RNA from 1 species